AGUGAACGCUGGCGGUAGGCCUAACACAUGCAAGUCGAACGGCAGCACAGUAAGAGCUUGCUCUUACGGGUGGCGAGUGGCGGACGGGUGAGGCAUACAUCGGAAUCUACUUUUUCGUGGGGGAUAACGUAGGGAAACUUACGCUAACACCGCAUACGUCCUACGGGUGAAAGCAGGGGAUCUUCGGACCUUGCGCGAUUGAAUGAGCCGAUGUCGGAUUAGCUAGUUGGCGGGGUAAAGGCCCACCAAGGCGACGAUCCGUAGCUGGUCUGAGAGGAUGAUCAGCCACACUGGAACUGAGACACGGUCCAGACUCCUACGGGAGGCAGCAGUGGGGAAUAUUGGACAAUGGGCGCAAGCCUGAUCCAGCCAUACCGCGUGGGUGAAGAAGGCCUUCGGGUUGUAAAGCCCUUUUAUUGGGAAAGAAAAGCAGCAGAUGAAUACCCCGCUGUUCUGACGGUACCCAAAGAAUAAGCACCGGCUAACUUCGUG
rnacentral:rRNA from 1 species